AGCGAACGCUGGCGGCAGGCCUAACACAUGCAAGUCGAACGAACUCUUCGGAGUUAGUGGCGGACGGGUGAGUAACACGUGGGAACGUGCCUUUUGGUUCGGAAUAACUCAGGGAAACUUGUGCUAAUACCGAAUGUGCCCUUCGGGGGAAAGAUUUAUCGCCAUUAGAGCGGCCCGCGUCUGAUUAGCUAGUUGGUGAGGUAACGGCUCACCAAGGCGACGAUCAGUAGCUGGUCUGAGAGGAUGACCAGCCACAUUGGGACUGAGACACGGCCCAGACUCCUACGGGAGGCAGCAGUGGGGAAUCUUGCGCAAUGGGCGAAAGCCUGACGCAGCCAUGCCGCGUGAAUGAUGAAGGUCUUAGGAUUGUAAAAUUCUUUCACCGGGGACGAUAAUGACGGUACCCGGAGAAGAAGCCCCGGCUAACUUCGUG
rnacentral:rRNA from 1 species